rnacentral:rRNA from 1 species
UGGUCUUAACAUGCACUGAAGCUUAACUCUUUUCAAUUUACUACGGGUACAGAGAAAGUAGAGACAGUAGCGAACGAGUGAGGAACACGUAGUAACCUGCCCACUGGAGGGGGAGAACCACUGGAAAGGGUGGCUAAUACCGCAUAAGCCCGAAAGGGGAAAGCAAUUUAUUGUGCCGGUGGAGGGGACUGCGGGCCAUCAGGAAGAUGGUGAGGUAAAAGCUCACCAAACCCGACGAACGGCUAUCUGACGUGAGAGCGUGAUCAGACACGAAGACACUGAGAAACGGGUCCUACUCCUACGGGAGGCAGCAGUGGGGAAUAUUGGACAAUGGGGGAAACCCUGAUCCAGCGACGCCCGCGGUGAACGAAGAAGUCGUUCGGGAUGUCCAGUUCUGUGAAAUGGGAAGAAGACAGUGACGGUCCCUAUCGAAUAAGCCCCGGCUAACUACGUGCCAGCAGCCGCGGUAAGACGUAGGGGGCAAGCGUUACCCGGAAUCACUGGGCGUAAAGGGAGCGUAGGCGGUUAUGCAGGUCAUACGUUAAAGGAUCCGGCUCAACCGGAGAGAUGCAUAUGAAACCGUAUAACUUGAGGAUAUCAGAGGAAAAGGGAAUUACCAUUGUAGGGGUGAAAUCCGUAGAGAGUGGUAAGAAUGCCGGUGGCGAAGGCGCUUUUCCGGGGUAUACCUGACGCUGAGGCUCGAAAGCCAGGGGAGCGAACCGGAUUAGAUACCCGGGUAGUCCUGGCCGUAAACGAUGUUCACUAGGUGUAGGAUGCCGACAGGCAAACUGUGCUGAAGCUAACGCGAUAAGUGAACCGCCUGGGGAGUACGUCCGCAAGGAUGAAACUCAAAGGAAUUGACGGGGGCCCGCACAAGCGGUGGAGCGUGUGGUUUAAUUCGAAGCUAAGCGAAGACCUCACCAGUCUUGACAUAUAGU